rnacentral:siRNA from 1 species
AGGAGAUCUCUAAACCGCCCGAGC